GAUGAACGCUGGCGGCGUGCCUAAUACAUGCAAGUCGAGCGAACGGACGAGAAGCUUGCUUCUCUGAUGUUAGCGGCGGACGGGUGAGUAACACGUGGAUAACCUACCUAUAAGACUGGGAUAACUUCGGGAAACCGGAGCUAAUACCGGAUAAUAUUUUGAACCGCAUGGUUCAAAAGUGAAAGACGGUCUUGCUGUCACUUAUAGAUGGAUCCGCGCUGCAUUAGCUAGUUGGUAAGGUAACGGCUUACCAAGGCAACGAUGCAUAGCCGACCUGAGAGGGUGAUCGGCCACACUGGAACUGAGACACGGUCCAGACUCCUACGGGAGGCAGCAGUAGGGAAUCUUCCGCAAUGGGCGAAAGCCUGACGGAGCAACGCCGCGUGAGUGAUGAAGGUCUUCGGAUCGUAAAACUCUGUUAUUAGGGAAGAACAUAUGUGUAAGUAACUGUGCACAUCUUGACGGUACCUAAUCAGAAAGCCACGGCUAACUACGUGCCAGCAGCCGCGGUAAUACGUAGGUGGCAAGCGUUAUCCGGAAUUAUUGGGCGUAAAGCGCGCGUAGGCGGUUUUUUAAGUCUGAUGUGAAAGCCCACGGCUCAACCGUGGAGGGUCAUUGGAAACUGGAAAACUUGAGUGCAGAAGAGGAAAGUGGAAUUCCAUGUGUAGCGGUGAAAUGCGCAGAGAUAUGGAGGAACACCAGUGGCGAAGGCGACUUUCUGGUCUGUAACUGACGCUGAUGUGCGAAAGCGUGGGGAUCAAACAGGAUUAGAUACCCUGGUAGUCCACGCCGUAAACGAUGAGUGCUAAGUGUUAGGGGGUUUCCGCCCCUUAGUGCUGCAGCUAACGCAUUAAGCACUCCGCCUGGGGAGUACGACCGCAAGGUUGAAACUCAAAGGAAUUGACGGGGACCCGCACAAGCGGUGGAGCAUGUGGUUUAAUUCGAAGUAACGCGAAGAACCUUACCAAAUCUUGACAUCCUUUGACAACUCUAGAGAUAGAGCCUUCCCCUUCGGGGGACAAAGUGACAGGUGGUGCAUGGUUGUCGUCAGCUCGUGUCGUGAGAUGUUGGGUUAAGUCCCGCAACGAGCGCAACCCUUAAGCUUAGUUGCCAUCAUUAAGUUGGGCACUCUAAGUUGACUGCCGGUGACAAACCGGAGGAAGGUGGGGAUGACGUCAAAUCAUCAUGCCCCUUAUGAUUUGGGCUACACACGUGCUACAAUGGACAAUACAAAGGGCAGCGAAACCGCGAGGUCAAGCAAAUCCCAUAAAGUUGUUCUCAGUUCGGAUUGUGGUCUGCAACUCGACUACAUGAAGCUGGAAUCGCUAGUAAUCGUAGAUCAGCAUGCUACGGUGAAUACGUUCCCGGGUCU
rnacentral:rRNA from 1 species